CCUACGGGUGGCAGCAGUCGAGAAUCAUUCACAAUGGGGGAAACCCUGAUGGUGCGACGCCGCGUGGGGGAAUGAAGGUCUUCGGAUUGUAAACCCCUGUCAUGUGGGAGCAAAUUAAAAAGAUAGUACCACAAGAGGAAGAGACGGCUAACGCUGUGCCAGCAGCCGCGGUAAUACAGAGGUCUCAAGCGUUGUUCGGAAUCACUGGGCGUAAAGCGUGCGUAGGCUGUUUCGUAAGUCGUGUGUGAAAGGCGCGGGCUCAACCCGCGGACGGCACAUGAUACUGGGCGACUAGAGUAAGGGAGGGGGAACCGGAAUUCUCGGUGUAGCAGUGAAAUGCGUAGAUAUCGAGAGGAACACUCGUGGCGAAGGCGGGUUCCUGGACAUUAACUGACGCUGAGGCACGAAGGCCAGGGGAGCGAAAGGGAUUAGAUACCCCAGUAGUC
rnacentral:rRNA from 1 species